rnacentral:rRNA from 1 species
AAUAGAUACCCGGGUAGUCCACGCCGUAAACGUUGGAUACUAGGUGUGGCGGUCUACCAACGACUGCCGUGCCGAAGCUAACGCAUUAAGUAUCCCGCCUGGGGAGUACGGCCGCAAGGCUGAAACUCAAAGGAAUUGACGGGUCCCCGCACAAGCGGCGGAGCAUGCGGCUUAAUUCGAUGCAACCCGAAGAACCUUACCUGGGUUUGACAUCAUGGGAAAAGCCGUAGAAAUACGGUGUCCGAAAGGGCCCAUGACAGGUGGUGCAUGGCUGUCGUCAGCUCGUGUCGUGAGAUGUUGGGUUAAGUCCCGCAACGAGCGCAACCCUUGUCCUAUGUUGCCAGCGGUUCGGCCGGGGACUCAUAGGAGACUGCCGGGGAUAACUCGGAGGAAGGUGAGGACGACGUCAAGUCAUCAUGCCCCUUAUAUCCAGGGCUGCACGCAUGCUACAAUGGCCGGUACAACGGGAAGCGACCCCGCGAGGGUGAGCGAAUCCCUUAAAGCCGGUCCAGUUCGGAUUGAAGUCUGCAACUCGACUUCA